CGGGCUCUGCGCGCGCUCGCCUGCUCGCUCGCUCCUUCUUCGUGCUUCGCCCGCUGAAGCCAUCGGCAGGGGGAGAGCGAGGCUGCCCGCAGUCGGCGACGCACCGAGCUCAGCUUUACUGCUAACUUUCAUGGAGCUAUCUAUACAAUAAGAUUCCAAAGUGAAAUGCAGAGAAAAGACAUGAUGCAAGAUACAAGAACGUGAUUGUGAAAAUGAGUAAUUAUUUCUAGCAUCCACAAUAUUCACUUUGGUAUUUUCCAUCUGCUUCACUAGAAGAGGAUGCUACUGGUGCAACAGUAAAAGAGGAAGCAGUAGCAAUGUUGGAUCGGAUAAAAAUAGAUUGAGAUAAUUAAAUGUUGAAAGUUCUCAAAUGGAAUUAUCUGAAAAAGCUGCAAUACUCACUGGAUUAUUGAAUUACGUAAACUGGAAAUGCCAGAGGCCGAAGACAUAAUCUUCCAAUUGCCUUGUAAUGUGGGAAUAGUAGCAAAGCAAUUGGAAGAUUAUAAAUGGUACACAACUGCUUAUAAAAUGGGACUGUUCUUUAAUUCAAAAUAUAUAGUAGGGUUAAACUGGAAGCUACAGGUCAAGAGCCUCCUAUUAGUAGUAGGAAAAUUAUUAACAAACAGUUGUUGACUUGGCAAAGCCGGGAAUGAUUAGAGAGAGUUGGCACGUUUUUUUGCUAGACAAAUCCUAUAUCUCAAGUCAAAUUUGAGUUUAUUUCAGACGUAGUUGUGAGCAUUGGCAGUCCGUGAUCCGAAAUGUGAGAAAAUGCAGCUCACUCAGGUUCGCCAAUUGAGUACGUAAGGCAUCGAGUUGUGGCAGGUUGGUGUUUUGAGCAGCAGCCAGUCAGCAAUCAAAAUUGAUUGGCAAGAACAAAUUAAAAUAAUGGAGGGACAAGUGGAGCAGGCAUUUUUGGAGUGGACAGUGUUAGAGUAGGGAUUUUGAGGCUUUAGAUCUCGGCUUUAGUGAGGAAAGGCUUGAGUGAGAGAAGGCAAAAAAGUUAUAGGUGGAUUUUUUUGCCCCCCCCCCCCCCCGUUUAUUCCUUCUUUGUAUUUGCACAGUUAGAAUAGUAGAGAUGCCAGGCUGGAUAGUUGAAUGCUCCUCUUGCGGAUGUGGGAAGGCAGGGAAACCUUCUGUGUACCUGACAACUUCACCUGUGAGAACUGCAUCCAGCUACAGCUUCUGACAUUCUGUGUUAAGGACUUGGAGGUGGAACUAGAUGAACUCUGGAUUAUUCAGGAGGCUGAGGUGGUGAUGGGUAGGACAUAAAGAGGUAGUUGCACCCAAAGUGCAGAACACAGGACACUGGGUGAUAGUUAAGAAGGGGAAUGAGGAUAAGCAGCAAGUACAGAGUCACCCUGUGGCCAUUCCUCCUCAACAACAGGUCUACAUUUCGGAUACUGUUGGAGGUGGGAAUAACCUAGCAGAAGAAAGUCACAGCUAUCAGAUCUCUGGCACUGUGUCUGAAUCUAUGACUCAGAAGGCAAGGGGGAGAAGAGGCAAGCUGUGAUGUUAGGGGAUUCGUUGGUUAGGGAAACAGAAAGCAAGUUCUGUGGGUGAGAACGAGAUUCACAGAUGGUAUGUUACCUCCCAUGUGCCAGGGUCUAGGACAUUUCGAUUGAGUCCUCAUCAUUCUUAAUGAGAGGGUGAGCAACUAGAGGUCCUGGUCCGUGUAGGUACAAAUGACAUAGGUAGGAAGAGAGACAAAAUUCUGCAAAAUGAGUUCAGGGAGUUAGGUGCUAGGUUGAAGGGCAGGACCUCCAGAAUUCUAAUUUCAGGAUUGCUCGCCCUGCCACCUGCUAGCAAAGCCAGAGCUAGGAAGAUCAUACAGUUUAACACAUGGAUGAGGAGGUGGUGAAGGAGAAAGGGUGUCCGAUUUUGUUUUUGUAUCAUUGGGCUCUCUUCCAGGGAAGGUGGGACCUGUAUAGAAGAGAUGAUUUGUACCUGAACUGGAGGGGGACUAAUAUCCUAGUGGAAAGGCUUGCUUCUACUGCAUGGGGAUGUUUAAACAAGAGUUCCAAGGGGAUGGGAACCAGAGUGCCAGACAUAUAAUAGGUUGUGGAGACGUGUUGUUAAGACCUCAGACAAAGUCAGGAAUUGAAAGGUUGAGCAUGGUACAACAAAUGUCCUGAGCUGUGUAUAUUUCACUGUAAGAAGUAUUGUAGGAAAGGCAGAUGUGCUCAGGGCACAGAUCAACAUAGAAUUAUGAUACUGUAACCAUUAGUGAGACAGUUGCAAGAGGGGCAGGACUGGCAGCUUAUUAUUCCAAGGUUCUGCUGUUUUAGGCACAACAGAGCAGGAGGGAUAAAAGGGGAAUGGGUAGCAUAAUUAGUCAGGGGAAAUAUUAUGGCAGUGCUUAGUCAGGACAACUUGUCUAGUGAGGCUUUAUGGUUGGAACUGAGGAAGCAGAAAGAAAUGACCACAUUAAUGGGGCUAUAUUACAGACUACCCAACAAUCCAAGGGAUUUAAAGGAACGAGUUUAUGAAGAUUGCAGACGGUUCUAAGAUAGUUGUGAUAGCUGUGAUAGUUGGUGAUUUUUAACUUUCUACAUAGCAACUUGGACCCCAUACUCUAAAAGAACUAGAUGGGAUAGAAUUUGUCAAACAUGUUCAGGAAAGUUUCCUUAAUGAGUACAUAGAAGUUCCACUGUAGGGGAACACUGCAUCUAUCCCAUUGUAGUGAUCAUAAUGCCAUUAGUUUCAAAGUAAAUAUGGAAAAAUACAGAGUUUGGUUCACAGGUUGAAAUUCUAAAUUGGCGAAAGGUCAAUUUUGAUGGUGUCUGAAAGGUGUGGACUGUGACAGGCUGUUUUCUGGCAAAGGUGCACUUGGUAAGUGGGAGGCCUUCAAAAGUGAAAUUUUGAGUACAAAGCUUGUAUGAGCCUGUCAGAAUAGAAGGUAAAGAUAACAGGUAUAGGGAAUCUUGUUUUUCCAGAGAUUGUGAGGCCUUGUUUAAGAAAACCGAGAUGCAUAGCAGGUACAGGCAGAUAGGAACAAAUGAAGUAUUUAUGGAGUAUAAGAAAUGCAAGAGAACACUUAAGAAAGAAAUCAGGAGUGCUAAAAGACAUGAGGUUGCCCUAGCAGACAAGGUGAAGCAGAAUCCUAAGGGAUUCUACGUGUACUUUAAGAGCAAAAGGACUGCAAGGGACAAGAAUUUCUCCUGUGGAAGGUCAGAAUGGUAAAAGAGAUGACCAAAAGAGAUGGGGGAAACCUUAAAUGGAUCUUUUAUAUCAGUAUUUACUUGGGAGAUGGAUACAGAGUCUAUAGAAGUGAGGCAAAACAGCAGCCAGGUUAUGGACCCUAUACAGAUUACAGAGGAGGAGGUGUUUGUUGUCUUGGGGCAAAUUAAGGUGGAUAAAUCCCAAAGACCUGAGAAGAUGUUUCCUCAGACGUUGUGGGAGGCAAAUGCAGAAUUUGCAGAGAUAUGUAAAUCAUCAUUCAUGACAGGUGAUGCACCAUAGGAUUGGAGAAUAGCUAAUGUUUUUCUGCUGUUUAAAAAAGGCUCUAAAAAUGAAUCAGGAAAUGAUAGGCUGCUGAGCCUGAUACCAGUUGUGGGAAAGGUACUGGACGGUAUUCUAAAGGACUCGAUAUAUGAGUAUUUGAAUAGACGUGGACUGAUUAGGGAUAGUCAGCAUGGCUUUGUGUGUGGUAGGUCAUGUCUAACUAAUAUAAUAGAGUUUUUCAAGGAAGUUACCAGGAAAGUGGAUGAAGGCAAGGCAGUGGACAUUGUCUACAUGGACUUUAGCUAGGUAGUUGACAAGGUCCCACAUGGGAGGUUGGUCAGGAAGGUUCAGUUCCUCAGCAUUCAAGGUGAGGAUGCAAGUUGGAUUAGACGUUGGCUUUGCGGGAGAGCCCAGAGAAUUGAAUUGAAUUGACUUUACUUCUUACAUCCUUUACAUACAUGUGGACCACUGUGUGAGGGAGAUGACUUCUUCCCUGUAGCCACCUUGUUAUUGUUUGAGAUUAGGCCAAUCAAUGUAGUGUCAUCAGCAAAUUUAAAUAGCAGAUUAGAGCUGUGGUUGGCGACAUGGGUAAACAGGGAGUAAAGGGGGGUCUUAGUACACAUCCCUGAGGGGCUUCUGUGUUGAGAGUCAGAGGGGUGGAGAUGAGGGAGUCCACUCUUUCCACCUGCUGAUGAUCUGACAGGAAGUCCAGGAUCCAGCUGCACAAGGCAGUGUCAAGGCGGUAGUAGAUGGGGGCCUCUCUGGAGGCCUUUGACUAGUGGAGUGCCGCAGGGAUUGGUGCUAGGUCUAUUGUUGUUUAACGUUCAUAUCAUUGAUAUAGAUGACAAUGUGGUUAACUGGAUCAGCAAAUUUGUGGAUAACACCAAGAUUGGAGGUUUAGUGGACAACGAGAAAAAAAUAUUGCAGAGGGAUCUGGACCAGCUGGAAAAAAGGGCAGGUGGAAUUUAAUACAGACAAGUGCAAGAUUUUGCACUUCAGUAGGACCAACCAGGGUAGGUCUUGCACAGUGAACAGUUGGACACUGAGGAGUGCGGUGGAACAAAGGGAUCUGGGAAUACAGGUCCAUAAUUCAUUGAAAGUCGGGGUGCAGGUAGUUAGAGUCAUAAAGAAAGCUUUUGGCACAUUGGGAGGACUUGAGUUACAAACGUUUGUAUAAAGAAAGAUUGAGUAGUUUCCAUGGAAUGUAGCAGACUAAGGAGAGAUUUGACAGAGGUAUACAAAAUUGAGGGGUUAUAGAUAGGGUAAAUGCAAGCAGGCUUUUUCCAUUGAGGUUGGGUGGGAUGACAAGUAGAGGUCAUGAAUUAAGGGUGAAAGAUGAGAAGUUAAGGGAAACAUGAGGGGAUCUUGUUCCCUCAUAGUGUCAUGAGUGUGAAACAAGCUGCCAGCACAAGUGCUGCAUGCAAGCUCGAUUUCAACAUUUAAGGGAAGUUUGGAUAGGUACAUGGAUGGUAGAAGUAUGGAGAUCUAUGGUCCAGGUGCAAGUUGAUAAGAGUAGGCAGGUUAAAUGGUUCAAAGUGGACUAGAUGGACUGAAGGGCCUGUUUCUGUGCUGUAUAUUUUUAUGACUUUAGCCUGGACAAUUGAUGAAGGUGGAACACUAGACAUGGUAUAUGUGGAUUGUCAAAAAGCGUUUUGCAUGAUGCAUUGAUCUGGAAAGUUAAAGCACAUGGGAUUCAAGAUGUGUUGGUAAAAUGGAUUCAAAAUUGGUAUAGUGAUGGAAAGCAGAGAUUAGUGGUGGAGGUUUGAUCUUCUAACUCAGUCUAAAACCAGUGGUGUACUGGAGGGAUUGGAGUUGAGAUAUUUGAUGUUUGUCAUGGUCUGAUCAGUAAAUCUGCUGACAAUUUUAAAAUUGCUAGAAUCAUAGAUAGCAAGGAAGAUUGAGAAUGCAAUAAAACAUAGAUCAACUGGAGUCAGGCGGAGCAGCAACAGAUGAAAUUUAAUCCAGCCAAGUGUGAGGUAAUGCAUUGUGUGAUGCUGAAUACUAGGAGGAUAUGUCCCUACUGUUUGCUGUACAUUAGGAGCGUUGAAAUACAAUCCUAAGGUCCAGGCCAUUUACUGUAUAUAUUAAGUUCAUAGUUACCUGAAAAUGGCAAUGCAGGCGAUCGUUCGUUCAUUAUAUGCCACGUCGUAUCACAUGGGCAGUCAUGGUCUUGCCAUGAUCAUGAUUGUUCUUGCAAAUUUUUGUACAGUCAUGGUUCAGCAUUGCUUUCUUCUGGGCAGUGUCUUUGCAAGACAGGUGACCCCAGCCAUUAGAAAACUAAGAAUUAAUCUGAUAGAAUGGUGUAAUACUCCAGCUUGCUUUUGCUUUGAUUUCUGGAGUUGGAUUUAACCUUGCAACCUUCUCUUUCAAAGUUGACAUCUGAAUUUUGUUCUAGUUCCCUUGCGUGAUAGGGGAACAAAUUAGGUCUGUAAAUAUGUUUUUGGCAAAGGCCAUCAGAUUAUUCCUUAGCUUUCUAAAACUUUCUCUGAUUUAGCCAAGGUCAGCAAGGGGAAAAUUCAAACAUGCCUCCAUUUAGCAAGACUGCCCUUGAACCUUUAGAUUUUGAAAUAUUUUAUGUCACAUUGUUGGAAGCGCAAAUUGAAGAUUAUACACUGAGGGAAGUGAAGGCCCUAGGAUCUGAAACAUUUUAUUUAGGUUGAAUAAUUAUAAAACACAAGAUAGAAGGUAAAAGGAGAUGGUGCAGAUUUGAAUUGGGGAAUUAUAUGUAAAAUCAGCUACAAAAGAAAUAGAGGAAAGAAGAUUUAUUUCAAAUGGGAAGUAAAACAAGACUGGUAAAUUUAAUUUUCAAUGACAUUUAUCUUAAAAUUAAUAAUUAAAAGUAAUUGGAUUUCAUAUUUACAGUGGUUCAGCAUUGCUUUCUUCUGGGCAGUGUCUUUGCAAGACAGGUGACCUGUACAUACAUACUUAAUUUUUCAUGCCAGCAAUUUUAAAUAGUAUUUUUUUGUAUCAUUUAUAGGAUACUUAAUCUUUGAAAUUACUUGGCUUAAUGUUCCUUACUAAUUUUAAUUCAGAAUCAGGAUUAUUAUCACCGGCGUGUGUCGUGAAAUUUGUUAACUUCACAAGAUCACAAGACAAAGGAGUAGAAGUAGGCCAUUCCGUCCAUCGAGUCUGCGCCGCCACUCCACCAUGAGCUAAAUUAUUCUCCCAUCUAGUUCCAAUUUCUGGCUUUUUCCCCAUAUCCCUUGAUACCCUGACUAAUUAGAUAUCUAUCAAUCUCCUCCUUAAACACCCUUAAUGAUCGGGCCUCCACAGCCAUAUGUGGCAACGAAUUCCAUAAAUCCAUGACCCUCUGGCUAAAAAAAUUUCUCCUCACCUCUGUUUUAAAUGGGUAUCCUCUAAUUCUAAGUCUGUGACCUCUUGUCCUGGACUCACCCACUGUGGGAAACAGCCUUUCCCACCCUUUCAACAUUCAAAAUGUUUCUAUGAGAUCCCCUCUCAUCCUUCUAUAUUCUAAUGAAUACAGUCCAAGAGCCGACAAACGCUCCUCAUAUGUUAGCCCCUGCAUUCCAGGAAUCAUCCUCAUAAACCUCUGAACUCUCUCUAACAUCAGUACAACCCUUCUAAGAUAGGGGGCCCAAAACUGCACACAGUAUUCCAAAUGAGCCCCAUAGAGCCUCAUCAACACCUUCGUACUCUUACACACUAUUCCUCUUGAAAUGAAUGCCAACAUAGCAUUCACUUUCCUUACUGCCGAUCCAACCUGGUGGUUAACCUUUAGGGUAUCCUGCACGAGGACCCCCAAGUCCCUUUGCACUUCCGAUCUUUGAGUUUUCUCCCCAUCUAAAUAAUAAUCUGCCUGAUUAUUUCUUCUUCCAAAAUGUACAUUGCUCAACAUUGUAUCUUAUCUGCCAUUUCUUUGCCCACUCUCCUAAACUGACCAAGUCUCUCUGCAACUUUUCCGUUUCUUCGACACUUCCUGCUCCUCCACCUAUCUUGGUGUCAUCCGUAAACUUAGCCACAAAACCAUUUAAUCCAUAAUCUAAAUCAUCGAUAUACAUUGUAAAAAGCAGCAGCCCCAACACCGACUCCUGUGGAACACCACUAGUAACUUGCAACCAAUCAGAAUAGGAUCCCUUUAUUCCCACCCUUUGCUUUCUGCCUAUCAGCCAAUGCUCCACCCAUUCCAAUAUCUUUCCUGUAAUUCCAUGGGCUCUCAUCUUUUGCGGCACCUUAUCGAAGACCUUUUGAAAAUCCAAAUACAGAACAUCCACAGCCUCUCCCUUGUCGAUCUUUUUUGAUAUUACCUCAAAAAAUUCUAAUAGGUUGGUGAGGCAGGAUCUUCCCUUCACGAAACCAUGCUGGCUUGGGCCUAUCUUGUCAUGCACCUCGAAGUAUUUCAUAACCUCGUCCUUGAGGAUUACUCGAAUAACUUUCCAACUACCGAUGUCAGACUAAUAGGUCUGUAAUUUUCUUUUUGCUGCCCCCCUCCUUUCUUAAACAGCGGAACUACAUUUGCGACCUUACAGUCUUCCGGAACCAUGCCAGAGUCUAUUGAUGCCUGGAAGAUCAUUUCUUAACGGCAGUAGUACGAUGCAAUAUGUGAUAAUAUAGAAAGAAAAAAAUAACUAAGUAAAUCAAUUACAGUAAGUUAAAAAUAGUGCAAAACAGAAAUAACAUACAUUUUUUAAAAAGUGAGGUAGUGUUCAUGGGUUCAAUGUUCAUUUCAGAAUCAUAUGGCAGAGGGAAAGAAGCUGUUACUGAAUCGCUGAGUGUGUGCCUUUUGUACCUCCUUCCUGAUGGUAACAAUGAAAAGAGGGCAUAUCCUGGAUGUUGGGGGUCCUUAAUAGUGGACACCACCUUUCUGAAGUACCGCUCCUUGAAGAUGUCUUGGAUACUUUCCUCCAAUAUUCCUAAAGUAUGGGUUUAGGAGGUUAAUUGGUUAUUAUAAAUUACCAUAGUGCAUAGGUAAUUGAUUGAAUGUAAGAUUAGUGUAAAGAUGCCAAGCAGGUAGAUUAUAUGACUUUAUGAGUAUCCGUGAUUUAAAAAAUGUUUUAAUGAUUCAAAGAAAGGGUCUAGCGUGGGAGGAAAUGAAAUGUGAAGGAUGGUGGAGAUUAAAUAAGAAAAAGGAAUCGGAUAAAAGAGGGUGAAGAUACAGUAUUUAGUGAAUACUUAAAUAGUACUUUUGAAGAUUUGUGAAAGAGGAAUACAUGUGAAAACAGUAAAAUGAUUCUUACAGGUAGUUUCCUAUUGUGUUAAAAACAUAGUGUUAAUACUGGGUCAUACACUGAUUGAGGCUAUGACAUCUUUAAUCCAUGACCUCACCCGACCUGCUUGCAUUUACCUUAUCUCUACCCCUUCAUAUCAAAUCUCCCCUACUAGUUGCUCUAGCAGACAAGGUGAAGGGGAAUUCUAAAGGAUUUUACAGAUAUGUUCUGAACAAAAGGAUUGCAAGGGAUAAAUUUGGUCCUUGGAAGACCAGAAUGGUAAUCCAUGUGUGGAGCCAAAAACAGAUGAAGAUUUAAAAUGAAUUUUUGCAUCUUUAUUUACUCGAGAGAUGGAUACAGGUUCUAUAGAAGUGAGGCAAAUUCUAUAGUCUCUACUGGGUCAACUUCAUGGACCCUGUAAAGAUUACAAAGGAGGAGGUGGAAAAUCAGGGUGGAUAAAUCCCCAGAGCUUUGUGUGGUGUUCCCUUGGACCCUGAGGGAGGCAAGUGAAGAAACUUCCGGGUCCCUAGCAGAGAUAUUUAAAACAUCCUCAGCGACAGGAGAGGUACCAGAGGACCGGAGGACCGCCAAUGUUGUUUCUGCGUUUUUAAAAAAACAGAAACAGAAACCAGGAAAUUAUAGGCUGAUGAAUCUGACAUCAGUUGUGGAAAGUUAUAGUAAGGUAUUGUAACGGACUGAAUAUGUAAGUAUUUGGAUAGAGACUGACUGAUUAAGAUUAGUCAGCAUGGCUUCAUGCGUGGUAUCCUGUCUAAUCGAUCUUGGAGUGCUACUGUGUGAUCGAGAACCUCCGGAGGGGAAGGCCCCAAAUCUUCGGCUUUGCCUAUUGCCUGUUGCUGGGGCCGGGGUCAAAGCGCUCGGCAGAGAUGGUGCUCGGUGUCGGAGAGCUGGUCGGAGGCUCAAAGUUUUCAGAUGGACUCGGAGUCGGACUGUGGUCGGAUGCUUCCAGGAUGCUGCAUUGGCAAGUUUGCAGCGCUGGAGGUUCACCAUCUGCGUGAGAUGAUGGGACUUUCGAGAGACUUUGAGAUUUUUUACCAUGCCCAUGGUCUGUUCUUUAUCAAAUUACGGUAUUGCUUUGCACUGUUGUAACUAUAUGUUAUCAUUAUGUGGUUUUUGUCAGUUUUUCAGUCGGUUUGUCAUGUGUUUCUGUGAUAUCAUUCUGGAGAAACAUUGUAUCAUUUCUUAAUGCAUGCAUUACUAAAUGACAAUAGAAGAGGACUGCGUGUCCUCAUAAUCUAACCUAAUCUAAUUUUGACAAACUUCUAUAGAUGGGUGGUGGAGAGUAUACUGACUGGCUACAUCACAGUCUGGUAUGCCAACACCAAUGCCUUUGAACAGAAAACCCUACAAAAAGAAGUGGAUACAGCCCAGUCCAUCACAGAUAAAGCCCUCCCCACCAUUGAGCAUAUCUAUACAGAGUGCUGUUGCAGGAAAGCAGAAUCCAUCAUCAAAGACCCCCCACCACCAAGGUCAUUCUCUCUUCUCACUGCUGCCGUCGAGGUGGUGGCACAAGAGUCUCAGGACUCACCACCAGGCUCCUCAUAAUCUAAUCUAAUCUAAAAAUUACCAGUAAAGUGGAUGUUAUUUACAUGGACUUUAGUAAGGCAUUUGGCAAGGUCCCACAUGGGAGGCUGGUCAAGAAGGUUCAGUCACUCGGCAUUGAGGAUGAGGUAGUAAAUUGUCUCGCGUUGGCUGUGAGAGAAGCCAGAGAGUGAUAGGGGGUUGCCUCUGACUGGAGGCCUGUGAUUAGUGGUGUGCCACAGGGAUCAGUGCUGGGUCCUUUGUUUCUCAUCUGUAUCAAUGAUGUGGAUGAUAAUGUGGUUAACGUCAUCUGCAAAUUUGUGGAUGACACGAAGAUUAGGGGUGUAGUAGAUAGUGAGGAAGGCCAUCAUGGCUUGCAGAGGGAUAUGCAUCUGCUGGGCAAAUGGGCUGAAAAAUGGCAGAUGGAAUGUAAUUCAGACAACUGUGAGGUUUUGUACUUCGGUAGGACCAAUCAGGGUAGAUCUUACACAGUAAAAGGUAGGGAGCUAAGGAGUGUGGUAGAACAAAGGGAUCUAGGAAUAUAGGUCCAUAAUUCAUUGAAAGUGGCAUCACAGAUAAUUAAGGUCAUAAAGAAAGCUUUUGGCACAUAGGCCUUUAUAAAUCAAUUUAUUGAGUACAGAGGAUAGGGAUGUUAUGUUGAAGUUGUACAAGACGUUGAUUAGUCCUAAUUUAGAGUAUUGUAAGAAGUUUUGGUCAGGAAAGAAGUAAACAAGGUCGAAAGGGUACAGAAAAAAUUUACAAGGAGUUGCUUGGUCCAGAGCACCUGAGUUUUAAGGGCCGGUUGAAUAGGUUAGGACUGUAUUCUUUAGAACAUAGAAUAUUGGGAGGAGAUUUGAUAGAAGUAUACAAAAUUAUGAGGAGUAUAGAUAGGGUAAAUCCAAGCAGAAUAAAACAUUCUAGAUGAUACAUCUAGAUGACAAAAUACAACAGACCCUGCUCCAAUCCCUGCGGCACUCCACUAGUAAGUCAGAGAGGCAACCAUCUACUUGCACCCUCUGGCUUCUCACGCAAAGCCAAUGUUUAAUCCAAUUUACUAUUCUAUGAUUAUUUUAUCACAGUUUUCAUUCUAUUGUUGGGUUAUUGAAUAUGUCUUCAAGAAAAUGAAUCUGAGGGUUGAAUAUGGUGAUAUAUAUGUACUUUGAUAAUAAAUUUACUUUGAACUUUGAUCUACAUUGUAUAAUAUUUAGUUGUAAUGUUUAAAAGGGGAGAAUCAAAAUAUGUUCAUAGACAAGAAAAAAACAAUUAAAAAAGCAUAUGUUGGAAUCUAACAAUCAGAAAAUGCUGGAAGAACUCAAGUUGUCCUGCAUUAUUUGUGGAAAAAGAAACUAGUUAUCCUUUUGGGUCAGAAACCUUAAAAAUAUUAUUAAUGAUUAGAUUUAUUUAAUUGGUUGAGGCAGAAUUGUUAGUAUUUCAUAACCAUCCAAUUCAGUCGUGUGAAUUGUUAGCAGCAAGUUGGCAAUCCUGGCCCACAAAUAAGAUGUUUACUAAAGCGCAAGGCUGAGAAAACAGCCUUGGACGAUGCUUACACGCUCGCCUUUGAUAGUUGUAAAUUCAUGACCCAAUCCAGAUGUUUAGUAUUUCAUUUAUGCUGACAUGCAAUUGUACAAAGGAUGGCUCUCGAGCAGAUCUUACGUUAAGUUUAGUCAUCCAUCAAGUUUUUGUCACAAUACAGUACUGAUAAAUACGUAUUCACUGUGGACUGGUUAACAAAUAUCGUCAACAUAAUUUCGCCUUAAUUGCUCUUUGCGGUUUGUUUACUUUAAUGAAAUUCAUAUUACUUUUAAUUGC